ACGGAGGGUGCGAGCGUUAUUCGGAAUUACUGGGCGUAAAGCGCGUGCAGGCGGGGGGACAAGUCUGAUGUGAAAGCCCGGGGCUCAACCCCGGAAGUGCAUUGGAAACGGUCCUUCUUGAGUGUUGGAGAGGAAGGGGGAAUUCCCGGUGUAGAGGUGAAAUUCGUAGAGAUCGGGAGGAAUACCAGUGGCGAAGGCGCCCUUCUGGACGACAACUGACGCUGAGACGCGAAAGCGUGGGGAGCAAACAG
rnacentral:rRNA from 1 species